UUCCUGGUGGUCCACUGCCUAAGACUCUGCGCUCCCAAUGCAGAGGGCCCAGGUUUGAUUCCUGGCUGGGGAA
rnacentral:tRNA from 1 species